CACAGGUUUGGUCCCAGCCUUCCUAUUGACCCUUAAUAGACUUACACAUGCAAGCAUCCACACCCCAGUGAAAAUGCCCUCCAAGUUAACUAAGACUAAGAGGAGCUGGUAUCAAGCACACAUCCGUAGCUCACGACACCUUGCAUAGCCACACCCCCACGGGAGACAGCAGUGAUAAAAAUUAAGCCAUAAACGAAAGUUUGACUAAGCCAUAUUGAUCAGGGUUGGUAAAUUUCGUGCCAGCCGCCGCGGUCAUACGAUUAACCCAAGUUAAUAGGCAUACGGCGUAAAGCGUGUUAAAGCACUAUACCAAAUAAAGUUAAAUUCCAAUUAAGCUGUAAAAAGCCAUAAUUGCAACAAAAAUAAACAACGAAAGUAACUUUACAGCCGCUGAAACACGAUAGCUAGGACCCAAACUGGGAUUAGAUACCCCACUAUGCCUAGCCUUAAACACAAAUAGUUAUGUAAACAAAACUAUUCGCCAGAGUACUACCGGCAAUAGCUUAAAACUCAAAGGACUUGGCGGUGCUUUAUACCCUUCUAGAGGAGCCUGUUCUAUAAUCGAUAAACCCCGAUAAACCUCACCAUUCCUUGCUACUACAGUCUAUAUACCGCCAUCUUCAGCAAACCCUAAAAAGGUACAAAAGUAAGCACAAUCAUAAUACAUAAAAACGUUAGGUCAAGGUGUAACCUAUGGAACGGAAAGAAAUGGGCUACAUUUUCUAAUCUAAGAAAAUCCAACACGAAAGUUAUUAUGAAACUAAUAACCAAAGGAGGAUUUAGCAGUAAACUAAGAAUAGAGUGCUUAGUUGAAUUAGGCCAUGAAGCACGCACACACCGCCCGUCACCCUCCUCAAGUAGGUACAAUACACUCAAACUUAUUUACACGUAUUAAUCAUAUGAGAGGAGAUAAGUCGUAACAAGGUAAGCAUACUGGAAAGUGUGCUUGGAUAAAU
rnacentral:ncRNA from 2 species